rnacentral:rRNA from 1 species
GACGAACGCUGGCGGCGUGCUUAACACAUGCAAGUCGAACGAUGAAGCCUAGCUUGCUAGGUGGAUUAGUGGCGAACGGGUGAGUAAUACGUGAGUGACCUACCUUUGACUCUGGGAUAAGCCUGGGAAACUGGGUCUAAUACCGGAUACGACCAAUCUCCGCAUGGGGUGUUGGUGGAAAGCGUUAUGGAGUGGUUUUAGAUGGGCUCACGGCCUAUCAGCUUGUUGGUGAGGUAAUGGCUUACCAAGGCGACGACGGGUAGCCGGCCUGAGAGGGUGACCGGCCACACUGGGACUGAGACACGGCCCAGACUCCUACGGGAGGCAGCAGUGGGGAAUAUUGCACAAUGGGCGCAAGCCUGAUGCAGCGACGCCGCGUGAGGGAUGACGGCCUUCGGGUUGUAAACCUCUGUUAGCAUCGAAGAAGCGAAAGUGACGGUAGGUGCAGAGAAAGCGCCGGCUAACUACGUA